rnacentral:rRNA from 1 species
AUGGAAGUGGACCACCGAGACCACACGCUCCAGCCCGACGAGCUGGACGAGCUCGAUGGCCAGGUCCUCCGCCCCGACCACCAUGAUUCCGCAGAGAACAAUAAGCCUGAACAGACUCUAACAUUGGUUUUCGUGGAGACAAAACAAGAAGCUGAUUCAUUGAGAUAUUGGCUAUACAACAGAGGUUUCACUGGAAUGGCGAUCCAUGGUGACGAAACACGUAAAUACAUAUUCCGAACUCUUCUGUCAUCGCCUAACUCUAGUGUACGGACACGCGCAUCCCUCUGGCUGCCGCUGGCCAGCAGCCAGCAUAGAGGAGCACGGCAAGAAUGGUGGUCGUGCAUCUACUUCGAGCUCCACAAAUCUCCAGCCACCUAG